GACAGGAGCAUGUGACAGAGAGUCACAUGGGAGCCUAAGGGGUCAAGAUCUGGGUAAAGAUUCUAAAGUCCCAACAGAAAAACUCACUUCUCUCGGAAAGGACCUUGGAUUGGAGGUUUUACAUCAGGUUUCUGGCCUUUUGGUGAUACUAGCCGAAGAGAGAGGAAUCUUUUGAACUGGCUGCUGGCAGCUGGAACAGAGAACUAAAGACUCACUUCUCCACUGGACUUGCUUUGGACAGUUUCAUCUGAAGAUCCCGGCCCAUUGAUUGGACUCCAUUUAAACAUUAGAUGACCCUAAAAGAAAAUAUCUAAAGGAAGCAGAUUAUAAAUUUACCAUCCUACAAAGAAAAAAAAAGUGAAACAUGCAGAUUGUUAACCGGGUCCAGAAUGAGGAGCAAAUAAAUAACAUUUGGAGGAGCUACUGGGUAUCCAUACAUGUCAUUAAAUGUGAGAUGUGAAAUAAUGAAGAGAAUAUGGUACCUUUCAGGUAAUAGAAACUUAGGAAGAAAACUGUGUCAGUCUUAGGAGCUAUAUUGAUGGUUAUACUAUAAUAAUAAUGUCAACAGUGCUGUAACUUUAGUUUUGGCACUCGGAUCAAGCAGAUCAAAAUAUGUCCCAAGCAAGCAGUACUAAAAUGUCCUGAAAUGAACUUUGUAAUUCAUAAUGUGAAAAGAAUAUGAAAAGUAAUUAAAUUUGGUUGAAUAGGAGAGGAAAUUCCUUUCUUAUUUCCUCCCUCCCUCCCUUUCUCCCUCCAUUCCUUCCUUCCUUCCUUCCUUCCUUCCUUCCUUACUUCCUUCCUUCCUUCCUUCCUUCCUUCCUUCCUUCCUCCCACAAGCACUUAUGAAACUACCUUGAAUGUAGCAUUGUAGUAAGCAAAGACUUUGUGACUGAAGGAAUGAGUUUAUUAAAUUGUUGUGCUUUUACAAUUUUUGUGCAUUUGGAUAAAACCCUGUUGGCCUGCCCCAGGCUCUUAAUGUAAACACUCAUAUGUUUUAAAAACUAUCACCUCAUUUGAACCUUGGAACAAACCUGUAAGGUGGGUUGUGAAAGAAUUAUUAUCCCCAUUUUAUAAAGGAGGAAACUGAGGUGCAGAGAGAUCCAAUGACUAGAAGUCUUCUAGCUAAAAAGAAUAGAAAUGGAUGGGAGGAAAAAGAGGAAAGGGUACUACUGACUUCAAGAUGAGAUCCUGUAUCUUCAUCAAUUAUUGACAGCAAGUUGGAAUCAAGCUAUGAGGGUUUUCUGUCUUUUCAAAAUAUGCAACAUAGUAAAAGUGGCCUGAAUUUCCACAUGGGAAAAGCAAAUCAAAUGAUUUUUAGACCUAAAA
rnacentral:lncRNA from 1 species